GGGGGGGGGGGGGGGGGGGGGGGGGGGGGGGGGGUGGGGGGGGGGGGGGGCUGCGGGUGUGGGGGGUGUGGGUGGGGGGGGAACGGGGGUGUAAAGCGGGGGUAACCGGCGCCCGGCUUCUGGCUAACCUCACGACAAUGUGGCUCAUACGGGCUCGUCUUGGCCUGUCGCCUGGUGGUGCGGGGCACGGUAUUGUUUCGGUGGGGGGUGGGCUCGCGGCCUAUCAGCUUGGUGGUGGUGAGAUUGCUUACCACAGAGGUGAUGGGUCGCCGGCCUGAGAUGGUGGACGGUAACACUGGGACUGAGACACGGCCCAGACUCCUACGGGAGGCAGCAGUGGGGAAUAUUGCACAAUGGGCGCAAGCCUGAUGCAGCGACGCCGCGUGAAGGAUGGAGGCCUUCGGGUUGUGAACCUCUUUCGCCAGUGAAGCAGGCCUGCCUCGUUUGUGGGUGGGUUGACGGUAGCUGGAUAAGAAGCGCCGGCUAACUACGUG
rnacentral:rRNA from 1 species